GACGAACGCUGGCGGCGUGCUUAACACAUGCAAGUCGAACGGAAAGGCCCUGCUUUUGUGGGGUGCUCGAGUGGCGAACGGGUGAGUAACACGUGAGUAACCUGCCCUUGACUUUGGGAUAACUUCAGGAAACUGGGGCUAAUACCGGAUAGGAGCUCCUGCUGCAUGGUGGGGGUUGGAAAGUUUCGGCGGUUGGGGAUGGACUCGCGGCUUAUCAGCUUGUUGGUGGGGUAGUGGCUUACCAAGGCUUUGACGGGUAGCCGGCCUGAGAGGGUGACCGGGCACAUUGGGACUGAGAUACGGCCCAGACUCCUACGGGAGGCAGCGGUGGGGAAUAUUGCACAAUGGGCGGGAGCCUGAUGCAGAGACGCCGCGUGCGGGAUGACGGCCUUCGGGUUGUAAACCGCUUUGGCCUGUGACGAAGCGUGAGUGACGGUAAUGGGUAAAGAAGCACCGGCUAACUACGUG
rnacentral:rRNA from 1 species